UAGGGAAUCUUCGGCAAUGGGGGCAACCCUGACCGAGCAACGCCGCGUGAGUGAAGAAGGUUUUCGGAUCGUAAAGCUCUGUUGUAAGUCAAGAACGAGUGUGAGAGUGGAAGGUUCACACUGUGACGGUAGCUUACCAGAAAGGGACGGCUAACUACGUGCCAGCAGCCGCGGUAAUACGUAGGUCCCGAGCGUUGUCCGGAUUUAUUGGGCGUAAAGCGAGCGCAGGCGGUUUGAUAAGUCUGAAGUUAAAGGCUGUGGCUCAACCAUAGUUCGCUUUGGAAACUGUCAAACUUGAGUGCAGAAGGGGAGAGUGGAAUUCCAUGUGUAGCGGUGAAAUGCGUAGAUAUAUGGAGGAACACCGGUGGCGAAAGCGGCUCUCUGGCUUGUAACUGACGCUGAGGCUCGAAAGCGUGGGGAGCAAACAGGAUUAGAUACCCUGGUAGUCCACGCCGUAAACGAUGAGUGCUAGGUGUUAGACCCUUUCCGGGAUUUAGUGCCGCAGCUAACGCAUUAAGCACUCCGCCUGGGGAGUACGGCCGCAAGGUUG
rnacentral:rRNA from 1 species